UUCGGAUUGUAGUCUGCAACCCGACUACAUGAAGCCGGAAUCGCUAGUAAUCGCGGAUCAGAAUGCCGCGGUGAAUACGUUCCCGGGUCUUGUACACACCGCCCGUCACACCAUGGGAGUCGGGAAUGCCCGAAGUCAGUGACCCAACCCAAGGGGAGGGAGCUGCCGAAGGCAGGCCUGGUGACUGGGGUGAAGUCGUAACAAGGUAUC
rnacentral:rRNA from 1 species